GAGUUUGAUCCUGGCUCAGAUUGAACGCUGGCGGUAUGCUUAACACAUGCAAGUCGAGCGGCAGCAUGGUGUGUAGUAAUACACAUUGAUGGCGAGCGGCGGACGGGUGAGGAACGCGUAGGAAUCUGCCUUACAGAGGGGGACAACCGGAGGAAACUCCGGCUAAUACCGCAUAAACUCUGAGGAGCAAAGGUUGGGUAGCAAUACCUGACGCUGUAAGAGGAGCCUGCGUCCGAUUAGCUAGUUGGUAGGGUAAAGGCCUACCAAGGCGAUGAUCGGUAGCUGUUCUGAGAGGAUGAUCAGCCACACUGGGACUGAGACACGGCCCAGACUCCUACGGGAGGCAGCAGUGGGGAAUAUUGGACAAUGGGGGCAACCCUGAUCCAGCAAUACCGCGUGUGUGAAGAAGGCCUCGGUUGUAAG
rnacentral:rRNA from 1 species